rnacentral:rRNA from 1 species
GACGAACGCUGGCGGCGUGCUUAACACAUGCAAGUCGAACGGAAAGGCCCUGCUUUUGUGGGGUGCUCGAGUGGCGAACGGGUGAGUAACACGUGAGUAACCUUCCCUUGACUUUUGGAUAACUUCAGGAAACUGGGGCUCAUACCGGAUAUGAUCUCCUGCUGCAUGGUGGGGGUUGGAAAGUUUCGGCGGUUGGGGAUGGACUCGCGGCUUAUCAGCUUGUUGGUGGGGUAGUGGCUUACCAAGGCUUUGACGGGUAGCCGGCCUGAGAGGGUGACCGGCCACAUUGGGACUGAGAUACGGCCCAGACUCCUACGGGAGGCAGCAGUGGGGAAUAUUGCACAAUGGGCGGAAGCCUGAUGCAGCAACGCCGCGUGCGGGAUGACGGCUUUCGGGUUGUAAACCGCUUUAGCCUGUGACGAAGCGUGAGUGACGGUAAUGGGUAAAGAAGCACCGGCUAACUACGUG